UGCCCUGCCUGAGUUCCUGUCCUGACUUCCCUGGUGACGGACAGUGACCUAGUGGAGGGAAGGUAGAAUUCUAACUCUGGUCGUCUCCUGCUGCUGUGUGUCCCUGGGGAAGCACUUUAGUCUCUGAGCCACGGUGUAAGAGAUGAUGGAAACGCCCACCUUUGAGUGCCCCCCAUGACUGCGGCUGGUGAGAAACUGUUACAUCUCCACAGACCGUUCUUGUAGCCAGUCUCCAGGAUUAAGAUUCUGAAGGCCGUGUUUACCCAGCUCACAUAUCCUUUGUAAUAGCUUUCAGAACGGUUUACAGAAAAAAAAAUUAAAUGCUACUUAGCAUGCUCAGAAAUUCCCUGAAAGACAAGAGUACACUAUGCUGUCAUGUGACUUGGGGGGAGAGGAUGGUGCUGUUCCCCUUUAGAACAAUAGCUGGCGUAGAACUGUGUGUGUGUAUGGAAGGACGUGUGUACAUUUGGGGGUGGGUAGCAUGACUGGACUCCAGGAAGGCUACUUCUUGCCUAUGCAGUAGCUACUGCAGCUGGGCUGCUAUUCAACAUACUGAGGAUGGAGUAUGUAAAGAUGUUAGUAUCCCCUGCUAGUCUACCCGCGAGGUUCCGGCUGGUGGGUGGUGAUCCACCUGCACACACAGCGAGGGGACUCUUCAACAGUUACCCAUCACUAUGCAAUAUUUGUCCGCUCACCCAUCCACUCAGUCAACCCUGAACUAGCCCACUGAAGAAAACUCUGCCUACUCUGCCCACUGAAGAAAACUCUGCCUACUCUGCCCACUGAAGAAAGAAAACUCUGCCUACUCUGCCCACUGAAGAAAGAAAACUCUGCCUACUCUGCCCACUGAAGAAAGAAAACUCUGCCUACUCUGCCCACUGAAGAAAACACUACCUACUCUGCCCACUGAAGAAAACUCUGC